GAUGCUCUGAACAUGAGAUGAGAGCGAUACAGAAGGGAUUAAAAAGAAUGAUGAUUGCUGAUUUAAGCGUGGAUGCUAGCCGAUUGUGAAGCUCCUUUGAAACUGAAGCGGGUGUUUAUCAAACUGUGAAACUCGGGAUUUGGUCAGGUUUAUUGGUUGAGUUGAGAACCUCUCUCAUGGAUUUGAGAUGGCGGGCCACCAAGAAAAAAUGUAAUGCUGACUUCUGAACCUGGGAAAAAGACACUUUUGCUGCACA